GAAAGAAGGAAGGAAAAUACUUUGUGUAAAUUUGCCAUAUUUAUGCUCCUUCUAUUAAAGCAUGUUUACUUGCACUGUGAUUUUAUCUUUUAAGCGAAAUAUUUCAAACAGGUAGAGAACAGUAUAGUAAAUGUCUAUGUACCUUCCCUCCUAGCAUAAAAAUAAUAAAGUUCAAUUCAUUUUUUCCUAGUUUUCGCUAACCCAGAGGGUAAUUUAGACCCUAUAUUAACAGUAACAAAUAGCAUUUUUUAAAAAAAUGUCUGUCCCAAAGGCUAGACAGCCCACAAGGGUUUCCCUCAUUAUUUUGGGAAAUUGUGUGAGGGUUGCUUUCAAACACCAGGAAUUUGCACAACCACAUGGAGUACAUGGUUCUCUCUGGCUCUGGCUUCAUCUCCCAGCAGAAAUGUCUGCUGCCAGUAGCUGUGGAAGGCACCUAAGGGCUGCUACUGCCACAGGUGCCACCUGCAGCUGACACUAUUGAAGCUAUACUUCAUUGGGUCCUUGGAGUGGUGACGGUGCUCUUGUUCUCCCUGGAGGUAGAAAAAGCCUUCUCCUCUUCUUGAGAUACAGGGAUCCUAAAUUAGUGUGGCUGGUGAUCACAACAUCUCAUCAAUAUUUGGUGAAACAGGCCUCACAGCUGUUCAUCAGACAAGUGAAUUAACUGACCAAUUGUUGUACUUAGAACCUUUGUCCCUCUCCAGUACUCAAGCAUUAUCUGAGUCCCAAGCUCACUUUUCCUAGAGAAUGGGCUUCUCGAAGGGGCUGCCCUUGUUUCUCAGUACACAUACACCAUUGGCCAACUUGCCUGUCAAUCCUACAGGCCAGUCUAGAUUCUAGAGCAAACAUACUUUAAGUCCCAGCUUGGCUUACUCUUCUAAGGGAAGAACUCAUGUCCAUCAGAUUUAUUUGAUGUUAUUUUCUGAACAAUAAAAAUGUUCAAAUAGAUUAUAGGAACAUUGCCUAGGAUAAUGUGGUAUAGCUGUGGUUUGUGAUUUAUGGUAUAUCCAUAUGAUUAAGUACAAUGUACAGUUUUCAAAUGAUUAUGAAAAUUAUGUGGCAAGAUAGUAACAUGGUCAUUACAUACAAGUAGAAAAAUCAGGAUUCAAAAUUAUAUGCAUAUUAUGAUUAAAACUAGUAUUACUUGUGAUUAUAACUAUUAUGAUUUUACUUACAAACAAAUAAUUAGAGAACAUAGCCAUGUUAGGGGGAGGAUCAUAAGUUAUAUCAUAAUGACAGAAUUUAUUUUUCAGAAUGUUUAUUACAUAAAGUAAUAAAAUAUUUACUAUGUACUAAAAAUUGUUACCAAAUAUUAAGUAUUGCAUAAUCUUUCUGUUUUGUAAAACACUGUCUGAGCACCAGUACUAAAGGAUCUUUUAUACAGCUGAUUACGGCAAGAACCUGGAAUCAAUAAAAUAUGGUAUUUUUUCUUCGUCUCAAACUUUCUCUGUCUCUCUCUCACCCCUGGCUCCGUCUGCCUCUGCUUCUUCCUGUCCUUUUCCCUCUCUCUCUCUCUCUCUCCCUCUCCUCUCUCUCUCUCUCUCUGUCACACACACACACACACACACACACACGAUUUGUUAAACUCAGAAGGGAAGAUUAAAAACAAAUAAUUCACCUAUAAUAAUAUACUAGUGUUUGUUUACAGUUUUAAAUUAAGCUUUAAAAAGUUUAUUAUUUAGGGUCAUAGCAGAAAAAAAGAUGUAUAUUCAAAGGUUUGUCAUUGAAUACAGUUUAAUAAUGGGACUCUUUGCAAAGGUAUGGGCGGAUUAAGGGAGCUGGGAAGGAAGAGUGAGGCACCCAGGAACUAGCAACUCUGGGAAGUCAUUACCAUCCCUUUCCUGAAGGAGCAAGGAGGAGGGAAUUGUCCUGGAACCUAGUGAGAGCUACAGCCUUGGGAGAGGAGCUGCCCGACAAGAGAUGCGGCCAUAAAGGAAAAAGCACAGCUGUAGAAACAGAAUGGAGAGAGGAGUAUGUAUCCUGGUCUCUCCUCCUGCCUUCUGAUUGCCCGCCGGUGCUUCCCACUGGCCAAACCUGACUGCAAGAUUGAGGCCAAUGGAGCCUGGUGACGCAGUCCCUGGAAGUCAGCCUCUUGACAUAGAGAAGGCAAAGAAGGGUGGAGAAUGAAUUUGGAGGGGCAAAUGGAGAAUAACCAGUACACAGCACCCAGCUUUUCCAUAUCAUAGGAGACAGGGCUGGAGUUUGGAUGGCUGUGUACUCUGCUGAUGGAAAUUUAUGGCUGUGUCCAUACACUGUACUUUAUUUGCAACGAUGAUCUGAAAGUCUUCAGUUUCCUGCACAAUCCUGGACUGGUCAUGUCUCAGCCUGUGACCCAGCUGUUGUUGCGCUGGAGCUCUUUCAUCCUGUUUGCCAACUUAUAUCUCCUGUGUCCUGUAUCCAUGCUUUUUUCUUCUCGCACUUUAUUGGAGCACACAAAUAGAUUCCUUAGAAAGUCUUCGUAAGAAGCUAAUUUUCUGAGACCGUUCAUGUCAGAAUAUGUCCUUACUCUAACCCUUGACUAAUAGUUUGGCUGAGUGUAAAAUUUUAGACUAAGAAACAUUUGUUUUUCAAAAUAGGGCAUUGCUUAAUUUUCUUCUCACAAUUGUAUAUGUGAUUUUUUUCUCUCAAAAUUUCCCUUGAUCAGACUUUUUGGGAUAUUUCCUUAUCUUCCUAACCUUCUAUGUAUUAUUUUUAUUUUGGCCAACUAGUUCUUUUUAACCUUUGUUUUUCUCACAGCAUCCUCUUAUUAUUUUAAAGAUGUCAUUUAUCUGUAGAUAUGUGUAUACAGUAAAUAUACAAAUAUGUACACAAA